GUUAAGCGACUAAGCGUACACGGUGGAUGCCCUGGCAGUCAGAGGCGAUGAAGGACGUGCUAAUCUGCGAUAAGCGUCGGUGAGGUGAUAUGAACCGUUAUAACCGGCGAUUUCCGAAUGGGGAAACCCAGUGUGUUUCGACACACUAUCAUUAACUGAAUCCAUAGGUUAAUGAGGCGAACCGGGGGAACUGAAACAUCUAAGUACCCCGAGGAAAAGAAAUCAACCGAGAUUCCCCCAGUAGCGGCGAGCGAACGGGGAGGAGCCCAGAGCCUGAAUCAGUGUGUGUGUUAGUGGAAGCGUCUGGAAAGGCGCGCGAUACAGGGUGACAGCCCCGUACACAAAAAUGCACAUAUUGUGAGCUCGAUGAGUAGGGCGGGACACGUGGUAUCCUGUCUGAAUAUGGGGGGACCAUCCUCCAAGGCUAAAUACUCCUGACUGACCGAUAGUGAACCAGUACCGUGAGGGAAAGGCGAAAAGAACCCCGGCGAGGGGAGUGAAAAAGAACCUGAAACCGUGUACGUACAAGCAGUGGGAGCCUCUUAAUGGGGUGACUGCGUACCUUUUGUAUAAUGGGUCAGCGACUUAUAUUCUGUAGCAAGGUUAACCGAAUAGGGGAGCCGAAGGGAAACCGAGUCUUAACUGGGCGUUAAGUUGCAGGGUAUAGACCCGAAACCCGGUGAUCUAGCCAUGGGCAGGUUGAAGGUUGGGUAACACUAACUGGAGGACCGAACCGACUAAUGUUGAAAAAUUAGCGGAUGACUUGUGGCUGGGGGUGAAAGGCCAAUCAAACCGGGAGAUAGCUGGUUCUCCCCGAAAGCUAUUUAGGUAGCGCCUCGUGAAUUCAUCUCCGGGGGUAGAGCACUGUUUCGGCAAGGGGGUCAUCCCGACUUACCAACCCGAUGCAAACUGCGAAUACCGGAGAAUGUUAUCACGGGAGACACACGGCGGGUGCUAACGUCCGUCGUGAAGAGGGAAACAACCCAGACCGCCAGCUAAGGUCCCAAAGUCAUGGUUAAGUGGGAAACGAUGUGGGAAGGCCCAGACAGCCAGGAUGUUGGCUUAGAAGCAGCCAUCAUUUAAAGAAAGCGUAAUAGCUCACUGGUCGAGUCGGCCUGCGCGGAAGAUGUAACGGGGCUAAACCAUGCACCGAAGCUGCGGCAGCGACGCUUAUGCGUUGUUGGGUAGGGGAGCGUUCUGUAAGCCUGUGAAGGUGGCCUGUGAGGGUUGCUGGAGGUAUCAGAAGUGCGAAUGCUGACAUAAGUAACGAUAAAGCGGGUGAAAAGCCCGCUCGCCGGAAGACCAAGGGUUCCUGUCCAACGUUAAUCGGGGCAGGGUGAGUCGACCCCUAAGGCGAGGCCGAAAGGCGUAGUCGAUGGGAAACAGGUUAAUAUUCCUGUACUUGGUGUUACUGCGAAGGGGGGACGGAGAAGGCUAUGUUGGCCGGGCGACGGUUGUCCCGGUUUAAGCGUGUAGGCUGGUUUUCCAGGCAAAUCCGGAAAACCAAGGCUGAGGCGUGAUGACGAGGCACUACGGUGCUGAAGCGACAAAUGCCCUGCUUCCAGGAAAAGCCUCUAAGCAUCAGGUAACAUCAAAUCGUACCCCAAACCGACACAGGUGGUCAGGUAGAGAAUACCAAGGCGCUUGAGAGAACUCGGGUGAAGGAACUAGGCAAAAUGGUGCCGUAACUUCGGGAGAAGGCACGCUGAUAUGUAGGUGAAGCGACUUGCUCGUGGAGCUGAAAUCAGUCGAAGAUACCAGCUGGCUGCAACUGUUUAUUAAAAACACAGCACUGUGCAAACACGAAAGUGGACGUAUACGGUGUGACGCCUGCCCGGUGCCGGAAGGUUAAUUGAUGGGGUUAGCGGUAACGCGAAGCUCUUGAUCGAAGCCCCGGUAAACGGCGGCCGUAACUAUAACGGUCCUAAGGUAGCGAAAUUCCUUGUCGGGUAAGUUCCGACCUGCACGAAUGGCGUAAUGAUGGCCAGGCUGUCUCCACCCGAGACUCAGUGAAAUUGAACUCGCUGUGAAGAUGCAGUGUACCCGCGGCAAGACGGAAAGACCCCGUGAACCUUUACUAUAGCUUGACACUGAACAUUGAGCCUUGAUGUGUAGGAUAGGUGGGAGGCUUUGAAGUGUGGACGCCAGUCUGCAUGGAGCCGACCUUGAAAUACCACCCUUUAAUGUUUGAUGUUCUAACGUUGGCCCGUAAUCCGGGUUGCGGACAGUGUCUGGUGGGUAGUUUGACUGGGGCGGUCUCCUCCUAAAGAGUAACGGAGGAGCACGAAGGUUGGCUAAUCCUGGUCGGACAUCAGGAGGUUAGUGCAAUGGCAUAAGCCAGCUUGACUGCGAGCGUGACGGCGCGAGCAGGUGCGAAAGCAGGUCAUAGUGAUCCGGUGGUUCUGAAUGGAAGGGCCAUCGCUCAACGGAUAAAAGGUACUCCGGGGAUAACAGGCUGAUACCGCCCAAGAGUUCAUAUCGACGGCGGUGUUUGGCACCUCGAUGUCGGCUCAUCACAUCCUGGGGCUGAAGUAGGUCCCAAGGGUAUGGCUGUUCGCCAUUUAAAGUGGUACGCGAGCUGGGUUUAGAACGUCGUGAGACAGUUCGGUCCCUAUCUGCCGUGGGCGCUGGAGAACUGAGGGGGGCUGCUCCUAGUACGAGAGGACCGGAGUGGACGCAUCACUGGUGUUCGGGUUGUCAUGCCAAUGGCACUGCCCGGUAGCUAAAUGCGGAAGAGAUAAGUGCUGAAAGCAUCUAAGCACGAAACUUGCCCCGAGAUGAGUUCUCCCUGAGACUUAGAGUCUCCUGAAGGAACGUUGAAGACGACGACGUUGAUAGGCCGGGUGUGUAAGCGCAGCGAUGCGUUGAGCUAACCGGUACUAAUGAACCGUGAGGCUUAACCUUACAACGCCGAAG
rnacentral:rRNA from 1 species